rnacentral:rRNA from 1 species
AUUGAACGCUGGCGGCAGGCUUAACACAUGCAAGUCGAGCGGAGCGAGGGUGCUUGCACCUUAGCUUAGCGGCGGACGGGUGAGUAAUGCUUAGGAAUCUGCCUAUUAGUGGGGGACAACAUUCCGAAAGGAAUGCUAAUACCGCAUACGCCCUACGGGGGAAAGCAGGGGAUCUUCGGACCUUGCGCUAAUAGAUGAGCCUAAGUCGGAUUAGCUAGUUGGUGGGGUAAAGGCCUACCAAGGCGACGAUCUGUAGCGGGUCUGAGAGGAUGAUCCGCCACACUGGGACUGAGACACGGCCCAGACUCCUACGGGAGGCAGCAGUGGGGAAUAUUGGACAAUGGGCGGAAGCCUGAUCCAGCCAUGCCGCGUGUGUGAAGAAGGCCUUUUGGUUGUAAAGCACUUUAAGCGAGGAGGAGGCUACUUAGAUUAAUACUCUGGGAUAGUGGACGUUACUCGCAGAAUAAGCACCGGCUAACUCUGUGCCAGCCGCCGCCGUAACAC